rnacentral:rRNA from 1 species
GACGAACGCUGGCGGCGUGCUUAACACAUGCAAGUCGAACGGUAAGGCCCUUCGGGGUACACGAGUGGCGAACGGGUGAGUAACACGUGGGUGAUCUGCCCUGCACUUCGGGAUAAGCCUGGGAAACUGGGUCUAAUACCGGAUAGGACUCCGGACUGCAUGGUCUGGGGUGGAAAGCUUUUGCGGGGUGGGAUGGGCCCGCGGCCUAUCAGCUUGUUGGUGGGGUGAUGGCCUACCAAGGCGACGACGGGUAGCCGGCCUGAGAGGGUGACCGGCCACACGGGGACUGAGAUACGGCCCAGACCCCUACGGGAGGCAGCAGUGGGGAAUAUUGCACAAUGGGCGCAAGCCUGAUGCAGCGACGCCGCGUGAGGGAUGACGGCCUUCGGGUUGUAAACCUCUUUCAGCAUCGACGAAGCGAAAGUGACGGUAGGUGCAGAAGAAGGACCGGCCAACUACGUGCCAGCCGCCGCCGUAA